UACGAAGGGGGCUAGCGUUGUUCGGAAUGACUGGGCGUAAAGGGCGCGUAGGCGGCGAUGUAAGUCAGGCGUGAAAGCCCCGGGCUCAACCUGGGAACGGCGCUUGAUACUGCGUUGCUUGAGGACGGGAGAGGAUGGUGGAAUUCCCAGUGUAGAGGUGAAAUUCGUAGAUAUUGGGAAGAACACCGGUGGCGAAGGCGGCCAUCUGGACCGUUUCUGACGCUGAGGCGCGAAAAGCGUGGGGAGCAAACAGG
rnacentral:rRNA from 1 species